rnacentral:rRNA from 1 species
UUGGCGGUAUCUUAUAUAAUCAGGGGAACCUGUCACUUAAUACGAUAAUCCACGAGCAUCAUCACCUUUUUUAGAAUAACAGCCUGUGUACUGCUGUCGUCAGUAAACCUUUAAAAGAAAGUUUACAAAUAUAUAAAACCUAUAUUCACGUCAAGUCAAAGUGCAGCUAAUAAAAAGGGGUAGAUGGGUUACAAUCUUAAAAUGGAUACGGAUAUAUCUCAAAUUUAAUAUUGAAGGUGGACUUGAAAGUAAUGCUAUAAAGUCAUGAAGUAUAAUCUAAGAUAUGCACACAUCGCCCGUCACUCUCGUCUAAAGACU